rnacentral:rRNA from 1 species
AGCAGUGCCACGGUAAUACGAAGGGUGCAAGCGUUACUCGGAAUUACUGGGCGUAAAGCGUGCGUAGGUGGUGGUUUAAGUCCGUUGUGAAAGCCCUGGGCUCAACCUGGGAAUUGCAGUGGAUACUGGGUCACUAGAGUGUGGUAGAGGAUAGUGGAAUUUCCGGUGUAGCAGUGAAAUGCGUAGAGAUCGGAAGGAACAUCUGUGGCGAAGGCGACUAUCUGGGCCAACACUGACACUGAGGCACGAAAGCGUGGGGAGCAAACAGGAUUAGAUACCCCUGUAGUCCCUGUCUCUUAUACA